ensembl:antisense Gm10069 predicted gene 10069
CAAAAAUGCCAUGAGCAGAUUUAUAAGAGCCAUAGACUUGUAAGUGGAGGUGAAUAGGAAGGAAGGUUUUCUCAACCUGCUCGCUGCUCCUAUGAGAUGCCUGUGGAGUUCUGAGUCUGUGUGGCUAAAACCAUGAAGUUCUGAUUACCUGUGCUGGCUUGAUGGAAGAUCUGUCUGGAGAGGUCCUGACUCUGCCCAGCAGUUUAGUAGCCCAGUUAUACAGCCUGGGUCUCUCCACAGACCUGAGUGGAGGAGAAGCCCCCGUGGGAGUUUUGUUGCUUGCUGAUCCACUUCACAAUCUUGGAUGCUGUGGACAGGUCUGAUGAAGACAGGUCCCGUGUGGGCCGGGAAGACUCAGAGGUUAGAUAGGCGAGAAGCACGAGCGAUUACCUGAAAAAUGCUGUGUGCGUCAUUAUCGCCCAGAGAGUGCUUUGGCGUGUACACGAUCCCAUUGUGAGUGAUGUCUUCUCCGCUGAUGCAGUUCUCAUGGUCUCUGUACACUGGGACACCAAAGAAGGCACCCUGGACAGUCUUUCCUGGCAGCAAACUGUAGAUCUGUGCAUUGGAGGAGAACAAAGGGCUGGACCUGGAGGCAAGAUGCAGAGGCUAACCAUAAAACCCGUGAGGCAUUCGCGAAGCCUGUACAUGAGGACGCUUCUCUGGAAACACAAAGGCAUUUUAAAGACAUGUUUGAGAAGAAACUGUUCUUGCCCACUCUUGAGACCAGUUAAGUGUCUGAUUUCAGGGAAAGCACAAAAGACCUAGCAUCUUACACAAUCACCUUGAGUUGUGGCCGGCUAGCAAAUGGACCGGACGAAAUUUAACUUCUCUAAAACGUAUUGUAGCAAAACUAACCCAUCCUAUUUGUGUGUUAUCAUUCGUAAAAUGAAGUGAUAAGACAGA